GCCUGGGUGGCUCAGUGGUUGAGCCUCCGACUUCGGCUCAGGUCAUGAUCUCACAGUUCGUGGGUUCGAGCCCCACGUCGGGCU
rnacentral:tRNA from 1 species